rnacentral:lncRNA from 1 species
GCGCAGUCUUGGAUCACUACUCGGCUGUAAGCACCGGCAACACCAUGAUGAAGAAAGUUGCGCUCGUACUGGUCGUCGUUCUACUAUGCACCGAAGUGAUGCUGACGGAAGCGCAAGUGCGUCCUCCCGGAAGGUCGGGCAACCCGGCCAAUCGCCCAAAACCGAAACCCGUGAAGUGUGGUAAAAAGACCUGUGCUCCUCAUCAGCGCUGCGAAAGACAACUGGUACCGGAGCCGACAUGUUACUGAAAUGAAACUUCUAACAAGAAAGAACAAUGCUCGAUGAACGUCACCUUCAUUAACGGUCAGUUUGGGAAAUAAAUGCUCACACAUGAAGAA